UGAUUAUUCUUUUCGUGGCAUUGACUGUUCAAACUAUCUCAUGAGAAAAUCUUCUGUGAAAUUUAAUGAUGAUAUUACUCAUAGAUUUAUAAACGAACACUUUUUAUUAACAUAUAGGUAUUAUAUAAUUUGUAAUAGUAGCAGUAGUAGUGCGAAAGGUAAAGAAAGUGGUAUUGCAUCACAAAACAUUUGUAUAUCUGAGGACUUAAGAAAAGGUUAUAAAAUAAAAAACAGCUUCAACGACAAUUUAUUAUUAUUACAGACGAACAUGAGAAAUAAAAAAGAACAGCACCAGUACCAGCAACAGCAACAACAGCAGAUAGAAUAUAUAAAACAAAAAACCAAUACCAUGAACAACUUUUAUACUUUUAGAACAGACCCUAUGUAUAAAUACUAUCACCAUUUUGGCAUUAUACGAAAAAAAUUAUAUUAUAGAUACAUAAUGAUUGUAAUUAAAAAAGCUGAUAAUCGUUUAGGUAACGGGUCUAGUUGUAUGGAUGCCAAUGGAAAUAAUGAUAUUAUGAUUAGUGGACACGAAAACAGCUACAAUAAUAGUGACUAUGAUAGUUUUUGGAAUCACAUCGAUGGUAAAAGUGAUGAUAAAAGUGAUGGUAAAAGUGAUGGUAAUAGCGAUGGUAAAGGUGAUGGCAAUAGCGAUGACAACAGUGACAGACGAUGCGACAAUAAAAGUGACAGGACAUGUUACGAAAAUAGCUACGGUAGUAUAAACCUUAGUGACAAAUGUAGUAGUAGUGAUAACAAUAGUAACGAAAACAGCGCUAUCAUGAAAUAUACAUUUUUUCUAAGUGGUAAUUAUGAACUGUUUUUUAGUUUGUUUCCAUGUUAUAUAUUAUUUAUGAUAGAGUAUUGGAAUAUUAUUUAUGAGAAACAAAAUAAUAACAUAAAUAGCGAUAUAAAUAGUGGUAUAAGUCGAAAUGAUUACACACAUGAAGUAUAUGAUGAACUGUAUUUAAAUAAGUUUUGUGAAUCACUUGAUCACUUUAAACCUAAUGUUAUAAAUAGUAAUAAAAGACAGGAACAUGUAAAAGAAGUUAUUGCAUUUAUUGAAACAUUUAUUACUCCUAAAUUUAUUGCUCUUUUUUUUCCUUCUUAUUUACAAUAUUUAAAGAAUGGUACUAAACAAAAACUAAAUGUUAAAAAUUUAAUAGGUAACGAAGCA
rnacentral:lncRNA from 1 species